rnacentral:rRNA from 1 species
AUGCCAAGCUUUAAAUCUGAGCCGCCGUCUCCAUUUCAUUUCGUCCAUGUUUCGAUCUGCUGGGCUCAGGCACUUGGAAUUCUUUGCCACCUGAUAAUUAGUGAAGGUAGUAUAUCUCUGGAUCGUAAUUGGAAUGCCAACUCUUCUAACAGCUGGAGAAUUGCCACCGCACCUAAAAAACAAGAGUUUCAAUUGUAUAAAGAAAUCCAUGUAUGUGUGACAGAACCUUUACACGAGGAGGGCAACAGCAUCGACAUGGCGAUCGAGUCACUCCUGAAUGCGGAGAAGCAAUGUUGCCUAGCUGGCGAUGUGGCCAGCACUAGGAAGGACAUCGUCGAGCUCUCCUUCAAGGAUGGCGCCUGGAAGACGCUUAACUACCAGAUCGUUCUCCUCUCUAAGAGGAGGAGGGGCCAGCUCAAGUAG